ACAUGCAGUCGAGCGGACAGAUGGGAGCUUGCUCCCUGAUGUUAGCGGCGGACGGGUGAGUAACACGUGGGUAACCUGCCUGUAAGACUGGGAUAACUCCGGGAAACCGGGGCUAAUACCGGAUGGUUGUCUGAACCGCAUGGUUCAGACAUAAAAGGUGGCUUCGGCUACCACUUACAGAUGGACCCGCGGCGCAUUAGCUAGUUGGUGAGGUAACGGCUCACCAAGGCGACGAUGCGUAGCCGACCUGAGAGGGUGAUCGGCCACACUGGGACUGAGACACGGCCCAGACUCCUACGGGAGGCAGCAGUAGGGAAUCUUCCGCAAUGGACGAAAGUCUGACGGAGCAACGCCGCGUGAGUGAUGAAGG
rnacentral:rRNA from 1 species